CCAAACUUGGUCAUUUAGAGGAAGUAAAAGUCGUAACAAGGUCUCCGUUGGUGAACCAGCGGAGGGAUCAUUAAUGAGUUUUUACAACUCCCAACCCUUUGUGAACUUACCUUUGUUGCCUCGGCGGGGCCUACCCGGUACCUACCCCUUUUGGGAGAGGUUACCCUGUAGCCCGCCGGUGGAUUUUCAAACUCUUGUUAUUUCAAUGAUAUCUGAGCGUCUUAUUUUAAUAAGUCAAAACUUUCAACAACGGAUCUCUUGGUUCUGGCAUCGAUGAAGAACGCAGC
rnacentral:misc_RNA from 1 species